CUAUGGAAUUUGUGACUGGAUGGGGUGAAGUUACCAGAGGCUUGCCAUUAAAGACCCCUCCAUUUUUAGACAGAACCAUACUGAAACCCCGAAACCCACCUAUGAUAGAGUUCGAGCACCAUGAAUUUGAUGAGAUUGAAGAUAUAUCAAACACAAACAAGUUGUAUGAAGAAGAAGAAAUGGUUUACAAGACCUUCCUGUUUGAUCCAGAUAAGCUUGGACAACUCAAGGAACAAGCCCUUGAAGAUGGGGUUUUAUCCAAAUGCACCACAUUCGAAGUCCUUGCAGGGUUUGUGUGGAGAGCUCGAUGCAAAGCAUUAAACUUGGUUCCUCAGCAAAAAACUAAGCUCCUCUUUGCUGCUGAUGGGAGAAAAAGAUUCAUACCACCAUUACCUGAAGGUUUUGCAGGUAAUGGGAUUGUUUUAACAUAUUCAAUCUCCACUGCCGGUGAGUUAG
rnacentral:lncRNA from 1 species